GCCCGGGAGUGAUUAACCAUAGAGUGGAGGUGGGGUAGAGCGGGAAUAAGGGAGACUCGGGGUCGCCGCCUGAGAGACUUUAAUAAGAUGCUUAGAAAGCGGAGGUAAUUUUAUUUUCAUUUUCGGUAUUUUAACUUGUGUAUGUUUUAAAGUAGGGUUGUGAGCCCCCUCCCCGAUUCUGUUGUUUUAUCUUUUUGUAAACCGCUUUGAGGGUUUUUGGGGUGUGUAAAUUUUAUGAAAAUUAGUUGAUUGAUUUCAGGUUGUAGAUCGCGGCUCUUAAAAAUCUGCCAAGCGCGGGGCGAAAUCAGUAGAAAUGAAGCCCAUAGGAGGAGGAGCCAAUACAAAAGGCCGAAAUCCAGGCGGACUCGAAGCUUUCCUUCGUUGAAGUGCUUUGAAAUAAACCCAGUAGUUGUGCCGCCAGGGCCUUGCAGAGCCAGGCAGAGGCCCGAGCCAGCCAGAUAAUGUGCCCCCCCCUUUUUUUUACCCUGGGGAUAACUGAAGUCUUAUAAAUAAGUAAGUAUAUAAAUAAUUUUCACAAGAGUUAUGCUGACAAAUAAUUUUAUUUCAAGGCUUGAACCGUAUCUGCAUAUAAAGACAAAAUGGAAAAUAUAGAUAAAUAUGCUGACCGAGGCCCCCUUUGGAAUCGGAGGCCCGGGCCAUGUGGCCCAUAUGGCCACUCCUCCGUAUGGGCCUGUGGGCCGCCUCUCAAAGCACAAAAGAAGCUAGAAAAUGUCACUCUGUCGCUCUGUCUCUCUCUCUCUGGGCAGGCUCACUCACUCACUCACAGGGGUGCCAAUGUCCUGGGAGCACCCAUAAAAUUCCACGUGAAGGGGCCGGGAACCCACAAAUUUCAGUGCCAGGACCAUGGACGCUGCAGCACCCACAGAGCCAAGCUGACACUCCUUUACAUCGUGUGUCUGUCAUGUGUCUAUAAAACACUAAUGAUGAACUUCAGUAGGUUGGUCCCGACUUUCUUUCCUCUGCUAUGGAGAGAGCAAAACAUUGAGUUUUGUUUUUUUCCCUUCCAAAAAACAAAAAAAUACAAAGGGGUCCCUGACACACACACCAGAGCACAUUCAGUGGACUCGCCUGUGCACUUGCCUACAAAACUGGUGGUUCUAAUUUGUGAAAGCAUGUAUCAUAUCUAUAAUUUUGCCUUUACAAGCCAUCUGCUCUUUUUGCUGGCCAGGCAAGUGCUUCUUUUUAAAGUUUUCGUGCAUGAGUCCCAUCAGGGAAAAAGGCAGGUAAGUAAAUAAAUAAAUAAAUAAAUCCAACUUUAGCAUUGUCAGCAAGCUGUUGUAUUCAUAACCUGCCUACGGACUUCCCAUAGGCAUGUAUGUAGUGGCUGUCGAAAACAGAAUGUUGUGUUAGAGAAGGCAUUAGCAUGAUCCGGUAAGGCUUUUUUAUUACUGCAUUGCAGGGGGUUAUACUAGAUGACUCUUGGGGUCCCUUCCAACUCUACAGUUCUAUGAUUCUCAUGCUGUUAUCAUCCAUCCCAACCCCUCUUACUUACCUUUUUCAUAAACCAAAAGGUACUACAGUGGUAACUUGGAAGUCCAACGGAAUCUGUUCCGGAAGUCCAUUCGACUUCCAGAACGUUCAGAAACCAAGGCAUGGCUUCCGAUUGGCUGCAGCAAGCCACGUCAGAUAUUCAGGUUCCAAAGAACAUUCGCAAACCGGAACACUCACUUCCAGGUUUGUGGCUUUCGGGAGCAAAAACAUUCAACUUGCAAGGCGUUCAGGAUCCAAAGUACACCUGUAAUCUAUAUAGCCUUUCUUCAUGGGGAAGUGUUCCAUUUUGAUAAAUUGGGCUGCCUUUUUCUCCGUAAAACCUUUUCUUCUUAACAAUCAAAGAUGAAGCAGGCUCCUCUAGCAAGCGAUACAACUUUUUGGGAGUGAACGGGCAUGGUUAUUUCAAAACACUUGUACAAAAUGGGAACAUAACUCAGCCCUGCUUUAAAAGUUUGCUUCGUUUCCUAAGCCCCUUCACUCUGAGUGUGCUAAUUACACUGGAAUAUGGGCAGCAUGGAACACUUGGCGAUAUUGUUAUAUCUCUCCAAUAACGUUAAGACACUGGUUAGCAGAGAAACGAGAUCACAGAGAUCCAGAAUUAGAUACAGGUAACCAGAACAACUUGGUCUAUGAAGACUGGAGCAACUACUAGGAACAUAUCUAUGUCCAUGUUAGUGGUUUCAUUUUCUGGGUAUGUCUCCUGUUCAUAAUUUUGGACACUGUCACAUAAAAAUUCCACUUUCCAUUUUGGUUUCCACCAAAGCCAUCAUUGGUGGGAACCUGAUUUAUGUUUUGUAAAGCAGAUGUUUGUGUGAUAACUUGUAUGCAGGAAUUUGUAAUAGCUCUAAGUGAAUCUGUAAUAUUACUAAUUGAUUUGCUUUGUUAGGUGAUUUGUUAUAUACAUUAUUUAUAGCCAAUUGCUGUUAGACUGGCAAUGUGAGCUGGUUUUGUAUUUUAUAUAUUGUACAGUGGACGCUUGGGUUACGAACAUGAUCCGUACGGGAAGCACGUCUGCAGCGCCGCGUCUGCACACGCAUGGGUUGCAAUUUGGCGCUUCUGCACAUGCGCCGAAACCUGGAAGUAACCCGUUCCGGUACUUCUGGGUUUGGCAUGGUGCGCAUCCUGAAAUCGUGCAACCCGAAGCAUCUGAAACCCGAGGUAUGACUGUAUAUUAUAUAUUUCCCUUGGUCAGUGUGCCGUUCUGGAAAUAAGUAUCUUACCUUUGGCUUCAGUCGAGAGAACACUAAUUAUGGAACAGGACAACCACACUUAAAUGGCCCUAAUUCUUUCCUUUUGGAUUGGGUCAUGUAAAUACAGUAUUUCUUUAUAAAAAAGGAGCUCACAGCCUCCUGAGGGAGAUUGUUCCAUUGGUCAAACAGCUCUUACUGUUAGGAAGUUCUUACUGAUGUUUAGACAUAAUCUCCUUUCUUCUAACUUGAAGCCAUUGGUUUGAGUCCUAGCCUCUGGAGCUGGAGGAAAAAAAGCUUGCUCCAUCUUCCAUGGGACACCACAUUAAACAUUUGAAGAUGGCUAUCAUAUUUCUUUUCAAUCUCCUCUUUUCCAGGCUAAACAUGCCCAACUCCCUCAACCAUUCCUCAUAAGGCUUGGUUUCCAGACCCUUUAUUAUCUUGAUUUAUUAUUUCAGAUUAUCGAUAUCCAAUCUAAUCCAAAUCACUUUAUUGUACUAGCCAUUGGCCAUGACAAAUCUGAAUCAAAAAUAAAUACAAGCAAAAGGGGUGUUGAGCAACAAAUAAUGGUCUCUAUUUAUAUCUCUGCAUCUACCUGUGUAUCCUUAAAUUGUAGUACCUGGAACUGCACACAGUACUCCAGGUGUGGGCUGAUCAAGGCAGCAUAGAGUGCUAUUAUGAUUUCCCUUGACACUAUACUUCUAUUGAUGUAGAAGAUAUUUUUGCUGCUGCAUGAGACUAUUGACUCAUAUUAAGCUUGUGGUCUACUAAGGCCCCCAGAUCCUUUUCACAAGCUGUUAAGAAGGUAGAGGGGAAUCAAUAAUAAUUAUUUAGAAUAUUCAAAGAUGUAUAGAAUAAUAAAGUAGAAGAUGUAUGUUAAUGUAAAGAAAAAGUUGAUGUGUACCUGGAAUUUUAAAUUGCAAUAAAAAUCAUUUUUUAAAAAAUAAAUCAAACCCUCCCAAGAGUCCAGUGGAACAGGCAGCAGUAACCCAGUUGCUACAGGGGCAGGGGUUCAAGUCCCCUUAUAGCACACACUACACACAAGCAGCAUUUCUGAAUACCAGACUGAAACAGAAGGAAGGAGGGAUCAUAGGUACAUAGGAAGCAGCCUUAUACCGAGACUGCACACCCCCAUACAUUUUAAGCAUAUUUAAAUCACAUGGCUUCCUCUGAAGAAUCUUGGGGACAGUAAUGUGCCCCUCCCAGAGCUACAGUUCCCGGCACCUUUAGCAAAUUACAGUUCCAGGAUUCUUGGGGAAAGCCAUGUAAUAUAAAUGUGCUUCAAAAGUAUGACAUGUAUGCAGCUUCAGUAUAAGGCAACUUCCUACGACCUUCCUUUCUUCAUAUUGGACUUUUCAAAUUGCCAUUGCCAGUUCUACUGUCAUGUUCUAGAAAAUACUUUGCUGUCAGCAUGGCAUCAGCAGUUUUGAGAAGUUCACAACAUAGAUAUAAAGGAGGGCCUAGGAAACAUUUUAUUUGCAUAAAUCCCAAGCCCAGCAGAACAACUAGUGGUGCUGUUUAAAUUGUAGUUUUCUAGUUGGUUGGUCAUCAAAGGCCCACUAAGGGCUCAUCCACACUUCCUUUUGUGCCAUGUUUCCAUGGAUUGCCAUUUGGUAUGAUUCAGCAGUGAAAUGCUGGUUUUCCUGGGGAAAGCACCGGGGGAAAAUCCUGCUCAGACGCAGACCUGGAAAGCCCAGACCUCUGUCUGGAAAGUGCAUAGCAAAAGUAAGUGUAGAUGAGCCCUAAGUGAGCUUCAUGGCUGUGUGAGUAUUUGAAUUGGCAUUUCACCAGUUCAAGCCUAUUCUGUCUACCAUGGCGAGCUAAUUAACACAUGGAUUGAACAACAGGAAGGGAACAGCACUGGGAUCUGAGGCAGGUAAAAUCUUAUUACCACAAUUAGCCAUGUCCCUUGGGAUAUUGCUACAGCUGUCUGCCAGGAAGGCACAGCCAGGUAGUACUUCAGAAAGAUAUCUGCAGAGGGGUGAAACUUGGGCUGGAACAAAAGAUACUGGAAUCUGAAACACAAAGUUUUUCAGUUACAGACAUUGUAGCAUAUUGAUCAGCUAAUUAACACAUCUAUUGUGAUUAAAAAACAAACAUCUCUGAUCCGAUUCAAUUGACAAGUGAAUCAAUCGAGACAGUUUCAACAUCAAUAAAUAGCAUUGCACAUAAAUACCUGUGCCAGAGGAAUAAGAGUUUUAAAACUGAUAUUUGAAAUACCUACAGGGUCGCCAACUUGGGCCCUCCCAGUACUCCUCUAAGACCACCCAGGCCUUCUCUGGAGCCCAGUGUCCACCUACCCUCUCCCUGCUGAAAUUAACCUUGAAACAAUCACUUCAUUGUGGUCAAUAGAAUAGAAAGUUGCCUUCUACUGAGUCAGACCCUUGGUACAUCUAGCUCAGUACUGUCCACACUGACUGGCAGCUGCUCUCCAGGAUUCCAGGUAGGGUUCUUUCCCAGCUAUACCUGGAGAUGCCAGUGGGGAUUGAACUUGGGAAAGCAGAUGCUCUACCACUGAGCGAUGGUCCUUCCCCAAUAGGCUGCCUUGUAUGCAAGGUUUCUCCACUUUGCAAAUGUGUCCACAUGCUCCAAAAGCUUGGCAACCUCUGUAAAGACUUAGUGAAAUGUCCCCCCACCCCCUUUGUAUUUUUUUCAUGUGUUAGGAGAUGCUUGUAGUGGCCAGACAGGGACAGUGUUUUUAUUCUUUCAGAAAUAAAGCCAAUCUGCUAUUUGUGAGUCUCACUGUAUUCCAUCCAUUAAUGCUGCUGAUAUUGCGGAAUAAUCUUCCACUGUUGUGGCAUAUAUGUCUCUAGUUACAGAGGGAGAAGGUGUUUUUUCUUUUGUAAACUGGAGGUAAUUACAGAGUGUGAUCUUAUCUCAUGGAAAUUUCCUGUCUACAGUGCCACUGCAGGCGUGUGCAUGCACGCACAGGUGUGUCGAGCGGAUUGCAUUCCACCUGCCCUGUCAAGUUAGAUUAACCUUGCCCUCAAAUUAGUUCUCUUCAUUCCUUUCCACUUAUCAGUCUCUCUUUCCUUUUUUUUGCCUCUGACCUGACUCAAAGGAUAAUAAUAUAUAGGUAUUUGUGGAUAAUUUAUCUGUGCGCAUGAUGGGAGCAUGUGCUGAAUAGCCUGUAUUUUUGGAUUCAAUAUCUUAGGCAAAGCAACAAAAGAAAAAGAAAUGCCAGACUUAGACAUGUUAUGAUUGCAUUUCUUAGUUUUAAAAACAAGUGGAGGCAUUGCCACGAUACAACGUCCAAUCCAAUUGCCUGGCUGGCAAUACCACUCCAAAGAACAUCUGAGGUAAAGCUCCACCACCUUGAAGUCCGGUUCUCAGAAAUAAGCAUUACGGUUCUAUAACUUCCCCCAAAGAAAAGCUUGAUGGGGUUUCUUGCACCUUUUACAAAUGCAUAAUAAAUGUAUUUGCACAAAAUGUU